UCCAGACUCCUACGGGAGGCAGCAGUGAGGAAUAUUGGUCAAUGGGCGGGAGCCUGAACCAGCCAAGUCGCGUGAGGGAUGACGGCCCUACGGGUUAUAAACCUCUUUUGCCGGGGAGCAAAGAGCGGGACGCGUCCCGCCUCGAGAGUACCCGGAGAAAAAGCAUCGGCCAACUCCGUGCCAGCAGCCGCGGUAAUACGGAGGAUGCGAGCGUUAUCCGGAUUUAUUGGGUUUAAAGGGUGCGCAGGCGGAAGCGCAAGUCAGCGGUAAAAUUGAGGGGCUCAACCUCGCUCCGCCGUUGAAACUGGCGUUCUUGAGUGGGCGAGAAGUAUGCGGAAUGCGUGGUGUAGCGGUGAAAUGCAUAGAUAUCACGCAGAACUCCGAUUGCGAAGGCAGCAUACCGGCGCUCAACUGACGCUCAUGCACGAAAGUGUGGGUAUCGAACAGGAUUAGAUACCCCUGUA
rnacentral:rRNA from 1 species